AUAAAUGCAUGAAUUAGUUUUUCAGCAUCACUCUGAGACAAGACCUUUCUAAUUUUAGAGAUAAUGCAAGUAGUCCUACAUAUUUGUUUAAUAUGUGCAUUGAAUGACAUAUCCUGGUCAAGUUGUACAGAUCCUGAGGUUCACCAGUCGGUGCUUAUCCCCAGAUUCCAUGGCAUGAAAUGGAUGAGCGUCUGACUCCCCAUGGAUGGAACACCAGUCUGACUCGGGUUACUUCCCCAGCAAACGUUGGUAACCAGCUGGGUGGACUGAGACAAAGCAGAUGAAGUGUUUUAAUCUAAGAACACAGACAGUUUUGAUGAUAACACAGGUUAAUAAACAACUGGGUCUAGCCUCAUUUUAUUAAGACCUCCAGAAAGAAAUGUAUGACAGUCAUUCUGGAGAGGUAGCUGUAGUCAAGUAAUUCAACCCCAAAUCAGAAUCAUUAAAAUUAGUAUUUGAUCAUAAUUAUUCAAAUGAAAAUAAUUAAUUUGUGUGUAAAUUAAUCUAGAAUAUAUAACAUUUACACUUUCUGAAAUAAGUGACAAAAAUAUUUAACUUUUUCAUAAUGUUAUUUUUUCAGACACACCUGUACAUCCAUUCCUGUGUUUAAGGCUGCAACAGAUUUAAAAAAGCUGUGAUGUGGGUAAUUUAAAAGUACUUAACUUCAACUUUAACUUCAUAUAGCAGCCAAAUAAUGUAGGGGCCAAUGAAGGCUUACACAGGGGUCAAAAAAUAAAACUUACAAUUUUGGCAAAUUGUGAUGUAAAUUACUUGUUGAGUUGAUCAGAUUUUUAAAAAGUAAAAUCAUUCUUCAAAGUAAUGGAUUCUAUUCCAUAUGACCCAAAACAUGAUGACAAAGCACAACAGAUGGUGCAAACUAUUAAAAAAAAUUGUAUUUGCACAACCAAAUAUUUGAAUCACAUUUUAUCAAAACUGGAGCAGCUUUAACUUUUGACGUUUGUACAAAUUGAAACUGACCAUUGCCAUAAUUUUAUCUGUUCAUAACAUUCACUCAUAGAUCAUCCAAACGACCUUUUUGGCAUAUUUAUCUGUUUUACUUUUAAAUAUGACUGGAGCAUUUUUAAAUGUUGACCCCUGUGUUAUUCUUUAAUGACCCCGACCUGUUUAUUGCUGUCACCCUGAUGGCCACCAUACAUUUUAUGUAGGUUGUAGAAUACUCGGUUUGGAUUAAUGCAUUUUAGGUGGUACUGAACUACCUACCUGUUCUAUUACACACAACUAUAAGAAGAGUAUUUAAGAAUUAACUUUUUCUCACUUUUUGUAAGUUAUGACACAAUAUUGUUUUAUAAAGACACUGUUGAAGUGAAUUGUUUUGUCAACAAAUAAAGGAAAACCUGCUUUUCAAUUCACAGUUUGUCCUAAAAAUGAUUUAACUGUUAAUGUGACACUUUUCACGAAUUUAUUAAAGUUAUAAACCUUGAGGUUUUUCAGCGUGUUGUUGUUUCUGUCGGAUCUUUUAUACGGAUGGAAUAACCGGACGUGCUGCGCCUCAUAAAAAUGUCUGUCGAUGAAUCAAAGUUGAUUUUGGAGGAACACAACAAGACAAAUGGAGACAGACUUCAGUUCUUUGCUCAGAUUAAUGAGGUUCACCCAAAACCAGGAAGCGCCCAAAAACGGUGCAAGUCUUACCAGUGUGGAAAGACUUUCAGCCAGUUAUCUCAUAUAAAACACCACCAGCUCAUCCAUGAUGAGGAAAAACCACACACCAGUGACCAGUGUGGCAGAGCUCGGAGU